AAACCGAGUUUGUUUUGAUUUUUUGUAAAAGCUGUUUGUUUGAAUGGUUUUUCCACACAACAACAACAUUUGGUUUGGCAGAUAAAUGAUCCUAGCUUCAGGACUGUUAUUUCUGCUGUAUCUUUUUAUCACAAAUCUUUUUUUUUUUUGAGAUAGUACUAGGUGUGUAUAUUUUAAAAAAAACAGCACAUUGGUUGUACUGAAACCAUAUUUUCAAUAGAACAAAUGGAAGAAAACUGUUCGGUGGUCCUAGCAAAAUCCUAGGAUUUCUAUGAAGAAAUCUUGUGGACUAGAAUUGUAUGAGUUGCUUUUUCGGAUUGUAGGUGGAACACUCUGCCGGAAAAACCAAUAACUUGAAGAACUUAAUGCCAAUAUUUAACAAAUCAUACAGAUCUGUUUGCUGUAUCCAUUAAUUGUCUUAAGAAGCAAUAGAUUUAGCAGAACGCCUCAUCUUGUUGUUACAACCUGUAUUUUAAAUUGCUUUUGAUAAAGUAUGUAUGUAUACGUUCAUAAUGCAUCUGAUUCGCUAUGAUAAUACAUCAUCACCUAUUCGUUUAGUGAUUGCACAUAUAAAUUUACAUGUUGUACUUUUAGUUGUCAUGUUGAUUGGAACUAAAUCCCUCCUUAAGUCGGACUAUGAAGUGCUCAAAAUGGAGUGACAUGAAAAGUUACGAUUCAUUUAGCCAACCCAACUUGCUUGCGAUUGAAGCGUAGUUGUCUAUUGGGACUGAAUAACUUCAGUGGAUACUUGCCAUUUUUCUUGCUUACAUUGGUUAACCGAGUUAAAUUUGUCGUGAUGAACUUUUAGAUGAAACUGACAGCUGAUUCGAUUACAUUGAUUAGGUGUUCCUGCAAGGGUGGCAGUGACAAUUCCUGGCAGCGGACACCCUUUGCAACAAGCAGUAGCAGAGUUAUUUCGCGGUGAUGUAGCAUUUUCAUCCUACUUAUCCUUUGAGCAAGAAAAUGAUGAAAAAGGUCGCAGGUGCUGGCUGAUGUUUUACCUGUAGAAACAGUUAUCUAUCGGCUGAAGAUUCUCAAAUCAGCUGCAGCUUUUGUCAAUUCUCGCCUCCAUGCUGUCAAAGCUCAGACUCUGGUACUUUCGAGUGGAAAGGAUCACUUGAUACCCAGCCUUGAGGAAUCUGAGAAGCUUCGUCGGAUGCUUCCAAACUGUGAGAUCCGGAAAUUUAAUAACAGUGGGCAUGUCCUUCUCCUGGUAGGCUGUUCUUCUUAUCCAAAACCAUUCAGACUCAAUUCCUAUUUCCAACUUGCACAAAUGACUAAUAUUCUGUAUCAUAUUGAUAACUGCAAAUGCAAAUGGUAAUAGUUAAGGGGCUUUCUUUAGAAUAAAUAGAAACAAUGAAACAAGGCUGAAAGCUUCUUGAUUAGACUUUGCUUCGUAGAUAGACUUUUUCAAGAACCCUGUACCUGAAUUUUAUUGAGGUUUAUUCAGUGACCAAAAAAAAAAAGGAAAAAAAAAAAAAGAAAAAAAGUGCCUACUAGUAAAAUGGAGCAAAAAACAUGCCCUUUAGUGAAUGAGUAGGCUUAGGAAUAAGUGAAGUAGGAGAUGGGAUCUCAAGGAUCAGUUAUGAGCAUAGUGAGGUAAGCUCAUAGCAAGCCCUCUCUCUUUGGCACUUAAUUUCCUGGUAAUAGUGUGCUUUCUAGUGCUUAGGCAAAAUAUAGGUCCUUGUUAUUGGGAUAUUCACUGAUUCUUCCAUUCAAUUUGUAUACCAGCUGAAGUUUGUAGCUUUUUCUCUCACUUUGUUUACUUAAUUUAUAUCUUCGACGAGCUUGAAGAUAAAAAGUGCAAACGUCAGUGUGGCCUUCCAGUAGAAAUACUCUUAUCUAUAUGAUUCCAUGAAAAUGUCACAGUGGCAUAUUACAUGUCGCACUUCCUACUGGAAGAACCAGUACCCAUGGCAGUUUAUAUAGUCCUGCAAUAGUCUACCAGUACCCAUGGCAGUAUAUAUAGUCCUGCAAUAGUUUACCUGUAUGCUCUAAGUGCUGCAUACAUAUAAUUGGUUACUUUGGGUCCCCACAAAGAGAUUACUCCAACUUUUAGAAUAUUCAUACCGAAUCUUGUGCAAGAACAUCUUUGC